rnacentral:rRNA from 1 species
GGCGAGUGAAGCGGCAACAGCUCAAAUUUGAAAUCUGGCCCCCUCGGGGCCCGAGUUGUAAUUUGUAGAGGAUGUUUCGGGUGUGGCUCCGGUCUAAGUUCCUUGGAACAGGACGUCAUAGAGGGUGAGAAUCCCGUAUGUGACUGGCAGCCUACGCCCAUGUGAAACUCCUUCGACGAGUCGAGUUGUUUGGGAAUGCAGCUCAAAAUGGGUGGUAAAUUUCAUCUAAAGCUAAAUAUUGGCCAGAGACCGAUAGCGCACAAGUAGAGUGAUCGAAAGAUGAAAAGCACUUUGGAAAGAGAGUUAAACAGUACGUGAAAUUGUUGAAAGGGAAGCGCUUGCAACCAGACUUGCGUGCGGCCGAUCAUCCGGUGUUCUCACCGGUGCACUCGGUCGUGCUCAGGCCAGCAUCGGUUUCGGCGGCUGGAUAAAGGCCAUGGGAAUGUAGCUCCUCUCGGGGAGUGUUAUAGCCCGUGGUGCAAUGCAGCCCGCUGGGACCGAGGACCGCGCUUCGGCUAGGAUGCUGGCGUAAUGGUUGUAAGCGACCCGUCUUGAAACACGGACCAAGGAGUCUAACAUCUAUGCGAGUGUUUGGGUGUCAAACCCAUACGCGGAAUGAAAGUGAACGGAGGUGAGAACCCUUAAGGGUGCAUCAUCGACCGAUCCUGAUGUCUUCGGAUGGAUUUGAGUAAGAGCAUAGCUGUUGGGACCCGAAAGAUGGUGAACUAUGCCUGAAUAGGGUGAAGCCAGAGGAAACUCUGGUGGAGGCUCGCAGCGGUUCUGACGUGCAAAUCGAUCGUCAAAUUU